UACGGGGGGAGCAAGCGUUGUUCGGAUUUAUUGGGCGUAAAGAGCGUGUAGGCGGCCAGGUAGGUCGGUUGUGAAAACUAGAGGCUCAACCUCUAGACGUCGACCGAAACCACUUGGCUAGAGUCCGGAAGAGGAGAGUGGAAUUCCUGGUGUAGCGGUGAAAUGCGCAGAUAUCAGGAAGAACACCAAUGGCGAAGGCAGCUCUCUGGGACGGUACUGACACUGAGACGCGAAAGCGUGGGGAGCGAACAGG
rnacentral:rRNA from 1 species